GGCCUACACAUGCAAGUCGAGCGGAUGAGGGGAGCUUGCUCCCUGAUUUAGCGGCGGACGGGUGAGUAAUGCCUAGGAAUCUGCCUGGUAGUGGGGGAUAACGUUCCGAAAGGAACGCUAAUACCGCAUACGUCCUACGGGAGAAAGCAGGGGACCUUCUGGCCUUGCCCUAUCUAUGAUUUACGUAGGAUUANCUUUUGUUGAGGUAAUGGUUCAUAUGGCGAC
rnacentral:rRNA from 1 species